rnacentral:tRNA from 1 species
GGGGGUGUAGCUCAGGCGGUAGAGCAUCUGCCUUUUAAGCAGGUGGUCGCAGGUUCGAGUCCUGUCACCCUCA